rnacentral:rRNA from 1 species
UACGGGGGGUGCAAGCGUUAAUCGGAAUUACUGGGCGUAAAGCGCACGCAGGCGGCUGGGUAAGUUUGAUGUGAAAGACCCGGGCUCAACCCGGGAAUUGCAGUGAAAACUGUCCAGCUAGAGUCUUGUAGGGGGGGGUGGAAUUCCAGGUGUAGCGGUGAAAUGCGUAGAGAUCAGGAGGAAUACCGGUGGCGAAGGCG